rnacentral:rRNA from 1 species
GACGAACGCUGGCGGCGUGCUUAACACAUGCAAGUCGAACGAUGAUGCCCAGCUUGCUGGGCGGAUUAGUGGCGAACGGGUGAGUAACACGUGAGUAACCUGCCCUUGACUUCGGGAUAACUCCGGGAAACCGGGGCUAAUACCGGAUAUGAGCCGUCCUCGCAUGGGGGUGGUUGGAAAGUUUUUCGGUCAGGGAUGGGCUCGCGGCCUAUCAGCUUGUUGGUGGGGUGAUGGCCUACCAAGGCGACGACGGGUAGCCGGCCUGAGAGGGCGACCGGCCACACUGGGACUGAGACACGGCCCAGACUCCUACGGGAGGCAGCAGUGGGGAAUAUUGCACAAUGGGCGAAAGCCUGAUGCAGCGACGCCGCGUGAGGGAUGAAGGCCUUCGGGUUGUAAGCCUCUUUCAGCAGGGAAGAAGCGCAAGUGACGGUACCUGCAGAAGAAGCGCCGGCUAACUACGUGCCAGCAGCCGCGGUAAUACGUAGGGCGCAAGCGUUGUCCGGAAUUAUUGGGCGUAAAGAGCUCGUAGGCGGUUUGUCGCGUCUGGUGUGAAAACUCGAGGCUCAACCUCGAGCUUGCAUCGGGUACGGGCAGACUAGAGUGCGGUAGGGGAGACUGGAAUUCCUGGUGUAGCGGUGGAAUGCGCAGAUAUCAGGAGGAACACCGAUGGCGAAGGCAGGUCUCUGGGCCGCAACUGACGCUGAGGAGCGAAAGCAUGGGGAGCGAACAGG